GGGCCGUUGGAGAAAGUAGACACGACGUGGUAUUGGUUGCGGCUCGUCGAUCUCGGACGGCUUUGACCGUCGCUCCGAUGAGCCGAACCAAUAUCACUCUUGUAUGCUUCUUUCCGUUCGUUUUCC
rnacentral:pre_miRNA from 1 species